GCGAAAUCGAGGGCAGGAGCGGGGGUAAUAUGGAGGGUGCAAGCGGUUUCCGGAUUGAGUGGGGUUAAAGGGUUCGUAUGCUGAUCUAUAAGUCAGUGGUGAAAGCCGACAGCUUAACUGUCGAACUGCCGUUGAUACUGUAGGUCUUGAGUAAAUUUGAAGUGGCUGGAAUAAGUAGUGUAGCGGUGAAAUGCAUAGAUAUUACUUAGAACACCAAUUGCGAAGGCAGGUCACUAAGAUUUAACUGACGCUGAUGGACGAAAGCGUGGGGAGCGAACAGGAUUAGAUACCCGAGUAGUC
rnacentral:rRNA from 1 species